GAGAGAUGGAUCGAGAGCUGAGCAGUCUGAGAGGUCAGAUCAACCGAGCCGCGACUCUAGGAAACUAGGAAGAAAGUUUCAGCUCUAAACUCCGCAGAGAAGAACUGGAGCAGCUCAGGAGAGAGGUGGACAUUCUCAAAAACAAACUCAUGUGGCAGGAGGAAGAUAGAUACGUUCCAGCUCCAGUCAGAGGCCAGAGAAACAAGGAGACAGUAUGAACGCAGCUCUAAAGUAAAGAAAUUACACACACGCUCAUAUAUGUACACUAUCGCUCAAAAGUUUGGGGUCAGGAUGAAAGCAGUUAAUAAUGUUAUUCAACAAGCAUGUAUUAAGCAGCACAACUGUUUUCAA